rnacentral:lncRNA from 1 species
CCACCAUCCCAUAGGUUGAGUAGGAAGUCCUUCUUGAAGUCUAAUCUCAAGAAUUCAUGCCAUGGAUUGGGCCAAUGUUCCACCUUUAUUGGAGUCUGGGGACUUAGGUGGAAAAGGCAGAACUGGCUGGUUGGAGGAGCCACCUCCCUGCAAGGGGCCAGGAGGGAGAUUACGGAGGCGCCAAGCCCAGAGCUCCAACAUGCACCUGCCACAGCUCCAGGGGAGAUCGGGGGCCUGCCAAUUUACCCCGCCCCAUGAUCUCAUGGCUGUGUGCGCCAGGCACUGGCUCAGGGAGCAGCAUCUCACAGAGAAGAUACUUGGAUGGGCCACAGGCCAAAACUGGGCCAAAACCCUGGAGAGGGGGACCUGGCUCAAGGCCACACCACAUUUCCAUGUCAUUUUCCAGUGGCACCAACUGAGCUGGACAGAUGUUCUCACAGAGCUACACAUGCCACAGUCAUCACUAGUUGCGAGAGUCUCCAGUGUUCAUUAAGCCUAUUUUGCUGGAAGUUUAGUCCCUGGAGGAUUAGUCCCUGCCCUUAAGGAGUGCCAAAGAAGACUUUGGAAUCUAAGUCACAUCUCCCCUGCUGCAAUUUUUUCCUCUUGAUAAUCAAGGAAUCUCACUGAUAAAACUCUCAAUGAGGAGCAGCUCUCCCCAUGAGCAAGUUCUUGCCUUCAUUGCCAGGGAGGCCCCAGCUAAGGUUAUACUGGGAAAGGAAUCUCUGGGGAGUACCUGGAAGAGGUCAGCUUCUCCUCAAAGGAAGCCUCUCCAGCUGGUGUACUGCAAAGCCUUCCAAGACCAAGUUCCCUCUUCCUGGCCUCUGGAACCAGCCUGUGUGCCAGCGCUGUGUCCCCAGUAACACACAUGAGUCUCUCCCUCAGAAGCCACAGAAGGAUGCAGAGAGAGACCAACCCAGGAUUGAUUCUCAGCACUUACUAAUUGUGUGGACAUAACUGCUCUGGACCUCAGCUUUGCUAUCUAUAAAAUGAGCACCCUUUUUAUAGAUA